UUGUCUUCCCGAGUAGCUGCUCCAUUCCCGGCAUAGAGGAUCAGGAGAGGGGACGCCACCUGCCACACGCUGGAUGCUGGGGUCCGCACGACUGCGGCUUGUGUCGCUGUGGUUGGUGGUGGUGAUGGAAACUGCAGCGUGGCUGGAGUGCAGAAGAGAAACUGUCUUUAAAAUCUGUCUGCCUGGAUAAACUCAAAGGAGCCUUUACAGAAAGCACAUUCACACAGACUGGCUAAUGAGACCCCACACUGAAGAAGCCUAGAACUUCCACAGACUCCCUGAAAUCUAAGUCCUCAUUUUUAACAUACAGCUUUUAAUACUAGCUUCAGAAGUCCCGGAUCCCUGCAAAGGAAGAGAGAGGUUCAUGUAACCUACUUAGGAACAGAGUUUAUUGGUUCCAAAGGCAUGAAGUCAGAGUUGUCAUCAGUUUAUCGGCGGAGAUGCUGUUACUGGGCAACAAUGAACCAUUUCUUGAUUGGAUUGUGAUGUGACGAAAAGUGGAUUUUAUACGACAACCGGCAAUGACCAGCUCAGUGGUUGGACCAAGAAGACGCUCCAAGGCACUUCCCAAAGCCAAACUUGCACCAAAAAAGGUUAUGGUCACUAUUUGGUGGUCGUCGGCUCGUCUGAUCCACUGCAGCUUUCUGAAUGCCAGUGAAACCAUUGCCUCUGAGGAGUGUACUCAGCAAAUUGAUGACAUGCACUGAAAACUCCAGCGCCUGCAGGCAGCAUUGAUCAACAGAAAAGCCCAAUUCUUCUUCAUGACAGCACCUGACCACAUGUCACACAACUCACGCUUUAAAAGUUGAACAAAUUGGGCUACGAAGUUUCACCUCAUCUGCCGUAUUCACCUGAUCUCUCGCCAACUGACUACUACUUAUUCGAGCAUCUUGACAACUCUUUGCAGGGAAAAUGCUUUCAGGACCAGCAGGAUGCAGAAAAUGCUUUCAAGAGUUUAUUGAAUCCUGAAGAAUGGAUUUUUACACUAUAGAAAUAAACAGACUGGGCGCAGUGGCUCACGCCUGUAAUCUCAGCACUUUGGGAGGCCAAGGCAGCCAGAUCACCUGAGGU
rnacentral:lncRNA from 1 species